AACGAACGCUGGCGGCAGGCCUAACACAUGCAAGUCGAGCGAGGACUUCGGUCCUAGCGGCGGACGGGUGAGUAACGCGUGGGAACGUGCCCUUUGGUACGGAAUAGCCCCGGGAAACUGGGAGUAAUACCGUAUGGUGUCUUCGGACUAAAGAUUUAUCGCCAAAGGAUCGGCCCGCGUUGGAUUAGGUAGUUGGUGGGGUAAUGGCCUACCAAGCCGACGAUCCAUAGCUGGUUUGAGAGGAUGAUCAGCCACACUGGGACUGAGACACGGCCCAGACUCCUACGGGAGGCAGCAGUGGGGAAUCUUAGACAAUGGGGGCAACCCUGAUCUAGCCAUGCCGCGUGAGUGAUGAAGGCCCUAGGGUUGUAAAGCUCUUUCAGCUGGGAAGAUAAUGACGGUACCAGCAGAAGAAGCCCCGGCUAACUCCGUGCCAGCAGCCGCGGUAAAGGCAGUGACU
rnacentral:rRNA from 1 species